UUCCGCGAGCGGCAGGUGACGCCGCGCUGGGCCACCUCCGGGGCUGACGUUCAGGCGAGGGUGGGCACAGGCCUCUGGGAAUGGGUCCGGGCUCAACUGAGUUCUUCUACCUUUGCUCCCUAGGCCAGCCGGGAAACGGUCCCCCUGCCCUGCGGGAGCCAGGUGAUGGAGGGCCCCGGUGGGUGAGGAUUGAGGUCCCUGGAAACUCAGACCAAAGAGCGUCGGCAGGAAAAGAGUUGGUCCCCACAGUCAAGGAACUGAAUGAUUAGCUCUGGUUUGGUUGGCGACUGAAUUUUGUGAUUGCUUGCACUGAACUGCACUGUUUGACUACUCCAGCAAGUGUUGCAAGACCUCUUCAUUGUUGUAUGACAAAUACAGAAAGUUUUUAUUCUUGAAAGACUAUAGAAUGUUCUCUUUGAGGAGCAAGCUGUAACAUGUAUAACUAGUUUAGGUAUAACAACGUUAACUGUUGUUUACCAGGGAACAGGCUUUUGGCAAAUAAUCUAAAAUAAUGUUCGUUGGGCAUAUGUUAAUGUUUGCAUGUUGUAUUAGCAGCAGUUGUUUCCCUACUCAUUCUUGUUUAAAGACUUGGAUGAUGGUUUCAAAGCUUGGCCUGCUGGAUCUAGCCUGUACCUGUAGUAGCCAGAAAAAAAAA